rnacentral:rRNA from 1 species
ACCUCACGCCUGCGCCGCGCGCUCUGCCUUCACACUCUGACACAAGCUCCGAACGAACCCUUCCACGGUUAGCUGCGCGGACGGGAUGAGAUAACCUCAGAAUCUGCCCUCAGGCAGCGGGCGACAACAGUUGGAAACGACUGCUAAUACCCCACUAUGCCGCGAGGUGAACAUGAACUUUCGCCUGAGUGAUAGAGCUCGACGCUCUGAUUAGCUACGCUUGGUGUAGAGUAAUGGCUCACCAAGGCAUCAGAUCACUACGCUGGUCUAGAGAGCGAUGAUCAGCCACACUGCGGACUGAGCACACGGCACCAGACUCCUACGGGAGGCAGCAGUGGGGAAUUUUCCGCAACUGGGCGAACAAGCCUGACGGAGCAACGCCGCGUGAGGGAUGAAGGCCUCUGGGCUGUAAACCUCUUUUAUCAAAGGAAGAACGAUCUGACGGUACUUGAUGAAUAAGCCCAACGGCUAAUUCCGUGCCAAGACAGACGCGGUAAUACAGGGAGUGGCAAGCGUUAUCCGGAAAUUAUUGGGCCGUAAACGCGUCCCAGCAGGCGGCCCCUUCAACGUCUGCGUGUUACACACAAGU